rnacentral:misc_RNA from 1 species
AAGACUAUAGACCUGCGGAGUACCUGCGGAAGGAUCAUUAAUGAAUUGUCCACUAUCAUGGAUAAUUUUAUCCAUAUCCACCUUGUGUGCAUCAUAGAAGUGUUUGUUGGCAGGUUAAGGCUCUUCUCUCGAAGGUCCUAUGGGGUUUGGCACUGGCAUUUUCGCCAGCGCUUGUGCUCGGCCUGCCAAUUUUUAUUAUGUUUAAAACUUGUCUAAAUAAGCAUUGGUCUGAAAUAUAAA